UUCCAUUAAUGAUCAAUUAAUAUUACAAAAGUGGGCUUCUAGGCCAAAUUACAAAGUAAAAUAAAAUAAUUACAAGUUGCCCUAUCUAAACAGGUGGGGGCGGAGGAGGUACAAAGGCUAUUAUGGCAUCGAAAGCCACGACUUCUUUGACUUCAGCCUCUUCUUCGGUGGCUUCGUAUUUGAUUUCUAUCACAUGGCUAUCCUCCGUAGAAGUUUGAGGUUCUUCUCCCUCAUCCAAGAACUCAUACCUCAGUUUAGAAGUAUUGAAGGUCUAGAAGUUUGUUGGAUAUUGGUUAAAUAAAUCGAGAAUUGAAAAUCGAUUAAAGUGACUUCAUAUCCAAGAACUCAUACCUCAGUUUAGAAGUAUUGAAGGUCUAGAAGUUGACUUCAAUCCACUCCACCACCUUCGCAUAGGCGUACCUUCACCAAUAUUUUGCAAAACCUUGGUAUGCCUGAGUCAGGUGAAAGUUAGAUGUAUAGUGCUUUUUAGCCCCACUGCUAACAGACUCUGCCUCCUUCCUCGUCAUCUCUAGCUCCUCGAUUAGGCCCGACACUCUGGAGUCUAACUCUCGCACCCGAUCUUUUAGAACAACAUUCUCUUUAAUUGCUGCCUCUAAGGCCUCAGCCACUAGCAUUUGGUGAGCAUCAGAAUUCUCCACUCGCCUUGUCAUGGAAGCCACUUCACUCUGACACUAGUGUACUUGCUUCUACAAGUUUUUAAUCUUUGCCAAGGCAAAGGCAAGCUUUAUGGAGUCUUCAGCAUGCUACUUCUUAACAGCCUCUACCUCCGCUUUCACCUUCUUAGCUGCCUCCUCUGUCUGGGAGGUCUUAUUGUAAAUUCUUUAUUUUUAUUGUAAAGGUUUUUUAAAAAGGGCCUUCGCCUCUAUAGCGACCCCAUAAGCCCUUGCAGAUUGGCUCACCAUUGUGGUGAAAAUUUCCAUUCAAUUAAUGGUCUCCAUGAAGGACUGCCAACGGUCCGUCUAGAACUUGUGAAAAGUAGAGUUGCAGUUUAAACUUUUCGUCGGCAACAUGGACAAAACCUCCAGGGCCAGUUCAUUGUUCCAUGGUGAGACAGCAAAUUUCGGGUGAGGACCCACUUGAGGUCCUUGCCCACUUCGAAGAUUCUUGCCUUGAGAACUCCACAGCAAUUAGCUUCUUUUGGGUUUCCUUAGCUUCGACAAUAAACGCUGCCAUCAGUUUCUCCCCAGCAAGGACUUCGGAGCGAGGUAGUGAGCUAGCCAUAAACUCACCCUCUCUGGUAGUAGAAAAUUUUUGCUUAUUUUGGGGGACUUCUUCCACCUUAUUCUUCUCCUUAUCCUUGAUGGGAGGUCUUCUAUCACCCUCUUGGGUAGUAGCCUCCCUAAUGACCCUCUUCACUUGGUCCCUUACCUACUUGUAACAAUAGAUAAGAGUUUUAACCCCUUUCUCUCUACUAUGAUGGUGGCUUCUUGGGUAGCAACCUCCCUGCUGACUCUACUUGGUCCCUUACCUGCUUGGUAACAACAGAUGAGGGCUUUAACCCCUUUCUCUAGGCUAUGGGGUGGCUGCGAGGAUGGUGGCCAUGUCAAAGUGGGGCAUCUCCUCUUCUCAAAGUUUUUUCUGCAAAAAUGUAAAGCACCCAGGUCAACAAAGAUGAACAACGUCAAAACAAUCACAUCCUAGAAAGGCAAAAGUAUCUUUGCAAGCCAUCAGGUUGAAUUCUUCAAAGAAACGGCGAGAAACAAUUAAUCUCUCAAACUUCUUUGAAGAAGAAUGACAUAGGUAGAUGUCCCCAACAAGCUCAAGCCCAGCUUCACUAAGCUCAAAACGAUCUACAAAUCCUGCAAAAGGCAAACACACACUAGGUCAUGAUCCACAUUAAUUCAACUCCUCAAUAAAAUACUUAAAAGGUACAACAAUCACUAGCUUCUGAGCUGGAGAUGGGAACUGUCACAUGGGGGAGGUGUCACCCUCACAUACUUGUCAUUUUUCCCUCACCUAGAACUAUGUCUCUUUCCAUUCUUUGAUGGAGGAAAAAAGUCCUAUGAUGAAGGGAGGAUG
rnacentral:lncRNA from 1 species